CCGUCGAUCUCGCCCACGGCGGCCGCCACCACCCCGCCGUCAUCCUCGCCCAUGGCGGCCGGCCCCACCCCGCCGUCGUCCUCACCCACGGUGGCCGCACCACCCCACCGUCGACCUCGCCCCCGGCCAACGCCCUCCUCCAUAUCCUUCUGACCCCAAGGCUGAGGUCGUUGCCGUCUAUCUCCCCUGUGUGUGCGCGUACAUCGUCGUCAAGCGUGAGGAGGGGUUGUUGUAGUUUCUUCUUCGCCUUCCCCCAUCUCACGUCCCCAUCGCCUCGCCACGUCUGUCACCUUGCCCCUCCAUGGCCGUCGGCGCCGCAUUAGAUGCCGGAUGGUGUUCCCCUGCUUUGUUGUAAGUGCUUCAGGAUAUGCAGUGUAUGCAUGUGAAGACGUGAAGAUGUUGACUCUUGUUCCUUGCUAGCUGCUUCAGGAUAUGAAGUGUAUGCACUGCUUUCAGGAGACAAUGAGUCCGGAACAGACGAGUGAGAAUCAUAGCUGGAUGGUUUCAUAGUUGGAUUUCUACCAGUCAAACAGAUUCAAGUCCUCUGGCUAUUUUUCUGGGAAGAUGAUUCGUAAUAUGUCCUCUUUGACGAUGCUAUGGAUGAUCACAUCGCCAAUGGCAACACUCGAGUUUGCAAUAUGACGGUGAGAACAUGAUGAUAACAACUAUGCAUCCGGAGGAGGAUCUCCCUAGUCCAUUUGCACUGAGCGACAAUCUUAUGGCAUUUUGUUGCAGCAACUGUCAUAUGGAAUAUGAUGGAUGAGAAAUAGUAAAAUGAUGCGUAUGUAUGUGAUGCUGCUGAUCAUGAACCUAGGUGAACCUAGGGAAGCCGAAGGGACGUUCCAUGCCUUAGUUGCAUGCAUGCAAGCUAAUUGUGAGAAGCGAUGGGUGCAGUCUGGCUGGCCCAUAGCACGCAAGGAGGAGAUUUUGAUUUUGAUUGUGAUUGGUUAUUGCUGCUA